CCCACUGGAAGGAGCGCACCGGGGACAGCUGCUCGAGCACCACAAAGAGCCUCAGCUUCUGAAUGUCCCAGACCCAGAUGGCGUUGGGGACGUUGUCUGGGAGGGAAAAAGGGCAGUGUCGCCACUGGCUCUGGGCAGCCCAAGCCCUUGAGAGCAACCCGGGAAGGAGCUGCAGUUGGGCCUCCACGGAAGUAGCUGUCAGCACUGAAGGCCAGCAUCCCUACGCCCAUCCUGGGGUUGGCCCUGUCAGCGGCUGGCUUCAAGGUCUGCAGGGAGACGGGCACAGAGGCGACCUCAUCUGGAGCAGCAGAGGAGGACACUGUGUCACCGGAAGUGGCUCAGGCAGGGGAUGGUGCCCAGGCUUCCGGGCCCUUGCAGAGGGGACCUGUGCUGACGGCAGGGCCCGUGGCGAGCAGCGCUGGGGCACCAGGCGAGCCGGGAGGGCACAGGAAUGCUCCUGAGGCCGGCACUCACACUCGGCGGUCACCCAGGAACCCCAGGCCACGUGCCUCAAGCAGAAUUGCACACACGAUGGACAGAACGUGGAAACUCACUUGCAAGCAGAGGCAUCUUUUUCAUUAAGCGAUAAAGGAGGGGCUCAAGGAAGAAAGAUGUGGCUCAGCGUGGCAGAGCACCAGGACCCCGGAAGGAAACAAGAAGACACGGACACACGCAAGUGCGCACACCCCAGCCGGCGGCAAGCUUACAUCUGCUCUCCGCGGUGGCAGUGAGGGGACAGGCGCCUGCUCGGGACGGCGGGAAGGACAGGUGGCCCAGCGCCAGCGGCGGGCUCUUCUUGGCUUCCUUGUACACAACCUGAAAGACAGGGCGGCCACCACCCAGCACGGGAGGGACGGAGGAAGCAGUGCCACACCAGAGGCCAGUGGGGGAGGCCGUGGUGGCACGGACACGGGAGGUCCCAGGGGCCCCUUGAAGGGGACAGUGGGACCUGGCCCUCCUCCUCUUCCUCCUCCUCCUCUGCUUCCAGCACCUGCUCUCAUCCCCCACAGCCAAGUGGCGGCAGAGUCUCACGCCGGGCCUGAAUGGGCCUCCUCCUUCAGCUCCCUCUCAGGCAUUCGCCACAGCCACGGAAACCUGUGCCCGGGCUUUCUCCUACAGCAGGGCGCAGGCUGCAGGCUGCAGGCAGAGCCCGGAAGCUGCGGCCAGUCCCACUCUGCAGGCCCCUGCCCUGCACUGCCUGGCUCAAGUCCCCGACGCCCUGCACGUCUGGCCAUCUUCACUCAGCAUCACCUCUGAAGGUCCCUGCCUGCAGCCCGGCCCCACUGACCACGGGGACUCAGCUCCUGCCACCCCGGCCCUGGCACCCAGCAGGUGGUGGGGCUGGUGAAUGCUGCUGCCAGGCCGCCAGGCUGCCCCAGAACCCUGUGCCUCUUGUUCCCUGGCCCUAGGGUGCUGCCUCGCUAGAGCCAAGACACCCAGCCCCAGCCCUUCCCCAUCCAUCCUGUCCCCGCUUCUCUGGCUGAGGCCCAGGGCACAGUGCUCAGCAGGAGGGCAGAUGGUCCGUGUUUUGGGGCAGGGCUUGGUCUCUGCCUUUUCAUACAAGGAUCUACCUUGGGACAGAUGGAGACUGUGACACCUGGCUGGGGACGGGCAAAGGAAGAGCCUGUGAGUGAUAUGACAGGAAAUAUAAACUGGGCACAGUGGUGCACGCCUCUAAUCCCAGCACUCGAGAGGCUGAGGCAGGAGGAUCACUGUGAGUUCGUGGCCAGCCUAGGCUACAUAGUGAGUUCAAGGCCACACUGAAAUAGGUAGUGAGACCUCGCCUCCAAAAACCAACAAAAGACAAGAGCAUGGGUGGAGCCUGGCACUGAGAUGUCCUAAUGUCUUAUCGGCAAAGUGUAGGGUGACAGAGGAACGGGGACAGUGGCAUCACAGUGGCCACCGUGAAGUGAAACAGCAGCUCCCACCCACCCAAGGCGAAGCAGAAACACACUCCAGACUUACUGUCUUGGGGUUGUUGACGGCUGCAGGAUGCCCAAACUCCGUGAUCAUCUUCCAGGUCACGUGGUUCAGGAGCCGCACCUGCAGAGGGGAUGGUGGAAGCUGACGCCUGCUCAGGUGGCCCUGUGGGGUCCGCACGCCCUGUCCCCUGUCUGUGGCCCACCUUUCCGUCAUAGCUCCCGAUUGCCAGGAACUGGCUGCUGGGGCUCCAGGCCACAGACUUGAUGCCCAGGGACCACUCGUAGGCACAGAACACCGAGAGCAGGCGGCCAUCCAGGGAGUACAGCAGCAUCUUGUACUGGGGCCGAGACAGUGACACUGCACCAUCACCUGGCAUGUGGCACAGACAUGGCACCCGGGGGGAGCAGAUGGCUCUCCUCCUCGGGAGCUGCGGGUGGAGCAGAGAGCCAGGGAACGCCAGCCAUGGCCGGCCGGGUGCAGCUCAGCAGUGAGCGCUUCCCGAGCAAGCGUGAGGCCCUGGGCUCCAUCCCCAGCUCCAGGGAGAGUUCCGGUCAAGAUGUGAAGGAGACAAAGCCACACAGCCCGGAAAAAUGCAGGUGGGCACUGCAGAGAGCGCAUGUCCUGCGGCUCGUACCUCCAGGCAGGUGUCCCACACUGCCAGCACGCAGCCGUUGGGGGCCCACUCCAAGCCGGCCAGGUCCUGCGUGUCAGUGUCGAAGUGCUUCCAAAGCAGAAGGAGAAAGACACGCGAUGACUUGAAGCCAUCUGCUUAAAGAAACCCUGGUUUAUUUUAUAACUGCUGUAACAUGUUUAGCACUUAAUUUUCUAAUACAAAAGUGGACAAAAUCUC